rnacentral:rRNA from 1 species
AAUCCCUAAAAGCCAUCCCAGUUCGGAUCGCAGGCUGCAACCCGCCUGCGUGAAGUUGGAAUCGCUAGUAAUCGCGGAUCAGCAUGCCGCGGUGAAUACGUUCCCGGGCCUUGUACACACCGCCCGUCACACCAUGAGAGUCGGGAACACCCGAAGUCCGUAGCCUAACCGCAAGGGGGGCGCGGCCGAAGUUGGGUUCGAUAAUUGGGGUGAAGUCGUAACAAGGUACC